UUAUUUCCCAAUCCCCUUGAGUUGAUCAUGGCUCAGGAUGAACGCUAGCGGCAGGCUUAAUACAUGCAAGUCGAGGGGCAGCACAGUGUAGCAAUACAUGGGUGGCGACCGGCAAACGGGUGCGGAACACGUACGCAACCUUCCCAAAACUGGUGAAUAGCCUUUCGAAAGAGAGAUUAAUACACCGUAACUUAAUGAAGUGGCAUCACUUUAUUAAUAUAGCUCCGGCGGUUUUGGAUGGGCGUGCGCCUGAUUAGGUAGUUGGCGGAGUAACAGCCCACCAAGCCUACGAUCAGUAACUGGUGUGAGAGCACGACCAGUCACACGGGCACUGAGACACGGGCCCGACUCCUACGGGAGGCAGCAGUAAGGAAUAUUGGUCAAUGGACGCAAGUCUGAACCAGCCAUGCCGCGUGGAGGAUGAAGGUCCUCUGGAUUGUAAACUUCUUUUAUCGGAGAAGAAACCCUAGCAUUCUUGCUGGGUUGACGGUACCCGAUGAAUAAGCACCGGCUAACUCCGUGCCAGCAGCCGCGGUAAUACGGAGGGUGCAAGCGUUAUCCGGAUUCACUGGGUUUAAAGGGUGCGUAGGUGGGCUAGUAAGUCCGUGGUGAAAUCUCCAAGCUUAACUUGGAAACUGCCGUGGAUACUAUUAGUCUUGAAUAUUGUGGAGGUAAGCGGAAUAUGUCAUGUAGCGGUGAAAUGCUUAGAUAUGACAUAGAACACCGAUAGCGAAGGCAGCUU
rnacentral:rRNA from 1 species